ensembl:lncRNA
UCCAGAUCAGAGAGGAGGAGGAGAGAUUCAGGGAGGAGCUGAGCUGUUACUGAACUAGAAGAGAGAGAAACCUCCACAUUCAACAGAGUUCAACACAAACCAUAAACUUUACCUUCAUUCAACAUGUUGUCUUUGGACUAUUUUGCACUUUCUUUACUGAUUCUCACCAUUCUAACAGGUGUCAGCUGUGAAGAUCUCACUCCAACCAACAAAGAAGUGUUCAGUGUAGAAGGCAGCACAGCUACUCUGUCCUAUAGAUUAUCCAAAAAGGCAACUGGAAGUGACGAGUUUUACUGGUAUCGACAAUAUCCUGGAAAACCACCAGAGUUCCUGAUCUCUCAUUUGGGAUCAGGAAGUGUAAUGAAAGAAGAAAUCUCUGGACUGUCUGUUCAAGUUGUGGAUGAUCAAAAACAAAUCGAUCUCAACAUCUCCUCUGCUGCAGUGUCUGACUCUGCUGUGUACUACUGUGCUGUGAGGCCCACAGUGACAGGAAACAGCAAAACUCUGUACAAAAACCUUUGGAGCAAAGACAACAGAAUACUCCACAACAUCCACUAGAGGGAGCCACACAC